CCUUCGGGUGUCAGUGGCAGACGGGUGAGUAACACGUGGGAACGUACCCUUCGGUUCGGAAUAACUCAGGGAAACUUGAGCUAAUACCGGAUACGCCCUUUUGGGGAAAGGUUUACUGCCGAAGGAUCGGCCCGCGUCUGAUUAGCUUGUUGGUGGGGUAACGGCCUACCAAGGCGACGAUCAGUAGCUGGUCUGAGAGGAUGAUCAGCCACACUGGGACUGAGACACGGCCCAGACUCCUACGGGAGGCAGCAGUGGGGAAUAUUGGACAAUGGGCGCAAGCCUGAUCCAGCCAUGCCGCGUGAGUGAUGAAGGCCUUAGGGUUGUAAAGCUCUUUUGUCCGGGACGAUAAUGACGGUACCGGAAGAAUAAGCCCCGGCUAACUUCGUGCCAGCAGCCGCGGUAAUACGAAGGGGGCUAGCGUUGCUCGGAAUCACUGGGCGUAAAGGGCGCGUAGGCGGCCGAUUAAGUCGGGGGUGAAAGCCUGUGGCUCAACCACAGAAUUGCCUUCGAUACUGGUUGGCUUGAGACCGGAAGAGGACAGCGGAACUGCGAGUGUAGAGGUGAAAUUCGUAGAUAUUCGCAAGAACACCAGUGGCGAAGGCGGCUGUCUGGUCCGGUUCUGACGCUGAGGCGCGA
rnacentral:rRNA from 1 species